rnacentral:snRNA from 1 species
AUACUUACCAGGCAGGGGAGAUACCAUGAUCAUGAAGGUGGUUUCCCAGGGUGAGGCUUACCCAUUGCACUCGGGAUGUGCUGACCCCUGUGAUUUCCCCAAAUGUGGGAAACUCAACUGCAUAAUUUGUGGUAGUGGGGGACUGCAUUUUCACUCUCCCCUG